rnacentral:rRNA from 1 species
UAACAGGAUUAGAUACCCUGGUAGUCCACGCCGUAAACGUUGGGCGCUAGAUGUGGGGACCAUUCCACGGUUUCCGUGUCGCAGCUAACGCAUUAAGCGCCCCGCCUGGGGAGUACGGCCGCAAGGCUAAAACUCAAAGGAAUUGACGGGGGCCCGCACAAGCGGCGGAGCAUGCGGAUUAAUUCGAUGCAACGCGAAGAACCUUACCAAGGCUUGACAUAUACGAGAACGGGCUAGAAAUAGUCAACUCUUUGGACACUCGUAAACAGGUGGUGCAUGGUUGUCGUCAGCUCGUGUCGUGAGAUGUUGGGUUAAGUCCCGCAACGAGCGCAACCCUCGUUCUAUGUUGCCAGCACGUAAUGGUGGGAACUCAUAGGAGACUGCCGGGGUCAACUCGGAGGAAGGUGGGGAUGACGU